UUGUGCGAUCAUAGCAGUGUUAAUGCACCGGAUCCCAUCAGAACUCCGUAGUUAAGUGCGCUUGGGCUAGAGUAGUACUAGGAUGGCUUCCCGGGAAGUCCUAGUGUUGCACCCU
rnacentral:rRNA from 1 species